CGUCAAAACCUCAACUCGUCUUUUUGCCCUUCUGCGCAGCAGAGAGAGAGAGAGAGAGAGAGAGAGAGAGAGAGAGAGAGAGAGAGAGAGAGAGAGCUUAUCCUGGAACAAGGCCGUUCGGCUGUUCACAUUCACACGACAAGCAAAAAGGCCCAACCAGAACCAGUCCUUCUUUUUCUGCAUUCUCUUUCUUCAAUUACAGCGUCGCGCAAAUUUGAGCUCUCAUGAAGGACAAUCGACAAUUGGAUCUGCGAUGAACGGCUGAAAUUAGAACUCUCGAGACCAAUUUGGACACUGAGUUUCAAGGAAUUGGAAAAUGUUUUGUUGAUUAUGGAAUUUAGUUCCACCGACUAUUGAUGAUCAGUUUUGUUCUGUUUUUAUUUAUUUAUGCGGUCUCACUUUUCAGAGCGAGCGUCAGGAGUCAUAAUCACCGGCUGAACGUACGGCUUCGACCUCUUGCUGCCACCGUUGGUUUCAUCUUUCAAAGUCUCAGCUAAUGAUUGAUUGAGCCGGUAGUUGGUUUCUUUGAUUGUCCAAGAGAUUAAAGAAGAAGAUGAAUCACUGCGUUCCUGAUUUCGAGACGGACGACGAUUUCUCGCUUCCUACUUCUUCCGCGCCAUCGCUCUGCAAGGCAUCUUCCAUCAGGUCAGACGGGGAGGUUAUAGAACUUGUUUGGAAGAACCGGCAGGUGGUAAUGCAGAAUCAGACCCAGAAUUCUGGGACGAAAUCUAACGGCACUACAGUAACCGCGGAGCAAAUCAGGAACAGAGAUAUUCGAGCUUUGCAUCAAGAGGAGAAACCGGAACUCUUCAUGCAGGAGGACGAAAUGGUUUCGUGGCUUCAAUAUCCUCUCGAUGAAGAACCUCCAUUGGACCAUAGUUUCUGCGAUCAACUCGUCUAUACUACGCAGCCUCAGAGUAUUGAGCAGAACGCCAGCGUCACUGCACAAGUUCGUACUAGUUAUGGCAUGGAGUUCCGACCGGUGACGCCGAUGUCUACGACGGCGACCUCAACGAUGAUUGCUAGGCCGCCAAUACCACCGAUGAGAACAACGGAAUCGGAAAUGAACACAAAUAGUUUCGGACUCUUCUCGAGGUACACACGGAGCGUUGAAUCUGGGCCGUCGAGUUCGAGGAGCACAGUAAGGGAAUCUCCGGCUUCGGAAUUACGGCGGACGGCUAUAGCCGACGCAUCAAGCGGUGGUUUAGCCUGCAGGCUCAUGAGCGGUGGUGGAGUAGCGGCUACGUCCAGCGCAGAACCGACAAUUCGAAGGACGACGAGUCUCGAGGACCGGAAGCGGAAAGGAAAAGAGAAGGAUGAUCCUGAAUACCAAUGCCAUAGCACGGACGUUGAAUUCGAAACUUCUGAUGCAAAGAAGCAAGUUCGUGUACCAACCUCUACAAAAAGAUCUCGUGCUGCUGAGGUCCAUAAUCUCUCAGAGCGAAAAAGAAGAGAUAGGAUAAACGAAAAGAUGAAGGCUUUGCAGGAGCUCAUACCACGGGGUAACAAGUUUCAGGCAGAUAAAGCUUCAAUGUUGGACGAGGCAAUUGAAUACUUGAAGUCUCUUCAGUUGCAAGUGCAGAUGAUGUCCAUGGGAUGUGGUAUGUUGCCUAUGAUGUUUCCUGGUAUGCAACAAUUUGUGCCACCAAUGGGAAUGGGACUUGGAAUGGGAAUGGGCAUGGAAACAAGUGCGAACCGCCCUAUGAUGCCAUAUCCUAAUAUGUUAGCUGGAUCGACGUUUCCAAGGCAAGCUGGAGCUGCUCAACUUGGACCAACUUUCCCUUUUGCAGCCUUUCAUAUGGCGCAUAUUGCCAGUAAUGAUCCAUCCAGAAUCCAAGGAACAAAUCAGUCAGAUCCUAUGCACAGCUCACCAGGAAUGCAAAAUAUAAACCAGUCAAGGAUGUCAAGUUCACUCGAUGGUUAUCAGCAGUUUCUUGGUUCUCAACAGAUGCAGGUGCCAGCAGCAGUAUCACAGCGUUCCCCACAGAAUCAACCAGCAGCCCCACCAGGAACCCACAAUCAACAUACGAAUAGCCGUAGUGGACUUGAAAACAUUGAAAAUUACAAAUCAGGGAACCGCACCAUGGAUCCAUGUUGAAAUUGGAUGAAGCUCCUAGACAGGCUCUACAUGCCUGCAAAAUUUUGUAGCGUAAGAGAGGCAGUAUAUGGUUUCGGCUUAGUUUCUUUAGUAGAGUAUUGGAAGAGCAGAGGAAGAAAGAAGACAAGGCUGGUAAGGAGAAGACAAAUGUGAACAAAGAGAUUUAAUUUGGAGUGACCAAGCUAGAUAAUAGGUAUUUAACACAUAUUCAAUCUAAAUUUUGAUAUUUGUUUAUUUGUCAAGCACAUGGUUAGUUUUUCAAAUUACAUCAUUUAAUUUUUUUUUUCUUUAGGUUUUUAUAAUGUUAGUUUUUCACUUGUGAUCUUUAAUUAUAAGAUUAUUUGCCCUCUUUAGUCCAACUUUGAGCCUUUUCUUAUAUUCACAAUUAUUGAGUUAAACAUUGUGAAAUAUGUC